rnacentral:rRNA from 1 species
AAUCAACGCUGGCGGCGUGCCUCAGACAUGCAAGUCGAACGAUUAAAGCUCUCUUCGGAGAGUGUAUAGAGUGGCGCACGGGUGAGUAACACGUAAGUAAUCUACCUUUGAGUGGGAAUAACAGUCGGAAACGACUGCUAAUACCGCAUAAUGCAGCGGCACCGCAAGGUGACAGUUGUUAAAGGAGCAAUUCGCUUAAAGAGGAGCUUGCGGCAGAUAGCUUGUUGGUAAGGUAACGGCUUACCAAGGCUACGAUCUGUAUCCGGUCUUAGAGGACGGUCGGACACACUGACACUGAAUAACGGGUCAGACUCCUACGGGA